GACGGGAGCUAGCCAAGCUCCGAAUCAACAAAUCUAUGGGCCCAGACAACAUCAACCCUAGGCUGCUCAAGGUGUGUGCCACACAGCUUGCAGGUGUGUUUCAACCUCUUCAGUCUUUCCCUAAGGCUGAAAAAGGUGCCCCAACUGUGGAAGACGUCCUGCAUUGUUCCGGUACCCAAGAAAAGUCAUCCCAAAACCUCAAAUGACUACAGACCAAUUGUGCUGACCUCACAUGUCACGAAGACCUUUGAGAGACUGGUCCUGAGGCACAUGAAGCUAGCACCUGAAGCUGAUCAUAAGUGACUCCCUUGAUCCGCUACAGUUUGCAUACCAGACCCAAAUCAGUGUGGACAACACGAUCAUCUAGGGCUUACUCACACCUGGAGCAGCCAGGAAGCACAUCAAGAAUAAUGUUUUUCGAUUUUUCUAGUGCAUUUACACCACUAGAUGCGAACAUGAGUUCUAUCGAUGGCACCAUCAACCCUGGGGAAGACCGCAAUCCUCAUAAAAGCAGCUUGCUUUUGUGUAUGGUUUGAAGGUAUUGCUUAAUUUUGGAAGAUGGCACACCGUAGGCUCCUGGACAAUGACUUUCUUCUUUUGCUUUUGCUUCUUCGGAAAUUAUGCUUGGAUUACUCCGAAAAGCCAACACUCUGUCUGCC
ensembl:lncRNA